GGGUGCGAUCAUACCAACGUCAAUGCACUGGAUCCCAUCAGAACUCCGCAGUUAAGUGUGCUUGGGCUAGAGUAGUACUGGGAUGGGUGACCUCCCGGGAAGUCCUAGUGUUGCACCCU
rfam:Picea glauca, whole genome shotgun sequence.